GACGAACCGUGCGAACGUUGUUCGGAAUCACUGGGCUUAAAGGGCGCGUAGGCGGGUCACCAAGUCCGGGGUGAAAUCUUUCGGCUCAACCGGAAAAGGGCCUUGGAUACUGGUGACCUGGAGGAAGGUAGGGGCAUGCGGAACUUCCGGUGGAGCGGUGAAAUGCGUUGAUAUCGGAAGGAACGCCGGUGGCGAAAGCGGCGUGCUGGACCUUUGCUGACGCUGAGGCGCGAAAGCCAGGGGAGCGAACGGG
rnacentral:rRNA from 1 species